CCUACGGGAGGCAGCAGUAGGGAAUAUUGCUCAAUGGGGGAAACCCUGAAGCAGCAACGCCGCGUGGGGGAUGAAGGUUUUCGGGUUGGAAACUCCUUUUGUUAGAGAAGAUAAUGACGGUAUCUAACGAAUAAGCACCGGCUAACUCCGUGCCAGCAGCCGCUGUAAUACGGAGGGUGCAAGCGUUACUCGGAAUCACUGGGCGUAAAGGGCGCGUAGGCGGGAUAGCAAGUCAGAUGUGAAAUCCUAUGGCUUAACCAUAGAACUGCAUUUGAAACUGUUAUUCUAGAGUAUGGGAGAGGUAGGUGGAAUUCUUGGUGUAGGGGUAAAAUCCGUAGAGAUCAAGAGGAAUACUCAUUGCGAAGGCGACCUGCUAGAACAUAACUGACGCUGAUGCGCGAAAGCGUGGGGAGCAAACAGGAUUAGAUACCCUUGUAGUC
rnacentral:rRNA from 1 species